GAUGAACGCUGGCGGCGUGCCUAAUACAUGCAAGUCGAGCGAACGGACGAGAAGCUUGCUUCUCUGAUGUUAGCGGCGGACGGGUGAGUAACACGUGGAUAACCUACCUAUAAGACUGGGAUAACUUCGGGAAACCGGAGCUAAUACCGGAUGAUAUUUUGAACCGCAUGGUUCAAAAGUGAAAGACGGUCUUGCUGUCACUUAUAGAUGGAUCCGCGCUGCAUUAGCUAGUUGGUAAGGUAACGGCUUACCAAGGCAACGAUGCAUAGCCGACCUGAGAGGGUGAUCGGCCACACUGGAACUGAGACACGGUCCAGACUCCUACGGGAGGCAGCAGUAGGGAAUCUUCCGCAAUGGGCGAAAGCCUGACGGAGCAACGCCGCGUGAGUGAUGAAGGUCUUCGGAUCGUAAAACUCUGUUAUUAGGGAAGAACAUAUGUGUAAGUAACUGUGCACAUCUUGACGGUACCUAAUCAGAAAGCCACGGCUAACUACGUGCCAGCAGCCGCGGUAAUACGUAGGUGGCAAGCGUUAUCCGGAAUUAUUGGGCGUAAAGCGCGCGUAGGCGGUUUUUUAAGUCUGAUGUGAAAGCCCACGGCUCAACCGUGGAGGGUCAUUGGAAACUGGAAAACUUGAGUGCAGAAGAGGAAAGUGGAAUUCCAUGUGUAGCGGUGAAAUGCGCAGAGAUAUGGAGGAACACCAGUGGCGAAGGCGACUUUCUGGUCUGUAACUGACGCUGAUGUGCGAAAGCGUGGGGAUCAAACAGGAUUAGAUACCCUGGUAGUCCACGCCGUAAACGAUGAGUGCUAAGUGUUAGGGGGUUUCCGCCCCUUAGUGCUGCAGCUAACGCAUUAAGCACUCCGCCUGGGGAGUACGACCGCAAGGUUGAAACUCAAAGGAAUUGACGGGGACCCGCACAAGCGGUGGAGCAUGUGGUUUAAUUCGAAGCAACGCGAAGAACCUUACCAAAUCUUGACAUCCUUUGACAACUCUAGAGAUAGAGCCUUCCCCUUCGGGGGACAAGGUGACAGGUGGUGCAUGGUUGUCGUCAGCUCGUGUCGUGAGAUGUUGGGUUAAGUCCCGCAACGAGCGCAACCCUUAAGCUUAGUUGCCAUCAUUAAGUUGGGCACUCUAAGUUGACUGCCGGUGACAAACCGGAGGAAGGUGGGGAUGACGUCAAAUCAUCAUGCCCCUUAUGAUUUGGGCUACACACGUGCUACAAUGGACAAUACAAAGGGCAGCGAAACCGCGAGGUCAAGCAAAUCCCAUAAAGUUGUUCUCAGUUCGGAUUGUAGUCUGCAACUCGACUACAUGAAGCUGGAAUCGCUAGUAAUCGUAGAUCAGCAUGCUACGGUGAAUACGUUCCCGGGUCU
rnacentral:rRNA from 1 species